UGUUCAUUCUAACAAAUCUAUCUCAUUCUCGUUCAAUCUACGUAUCAGUGCUGUCACUGGCCCGAUAUUAGUAUAGUGAAUAGUUUGUUGUAAUUUUCGACUGAGAUAUUGACAUUAGCAGUCACAGAAUUUGUGAAGGUUCUUCUAGCUUAAAAGAUUGAAAUUAGAAUCUCUCUGUGUACGCAGAAGAAAAAUCACGAUGCAAAAUACGUAUCAUUAUUGUUAUCUGUGUGAAGGUGAUUCGUGCACGAAACCACUAACGCAUUUGCCAUAUUGCAAUACUACAUUUAAUUGCUUCAAAUCAGCCAUAAAGAAAAUUGAGGACACAGUUAAUUUUUCGCGCGGAUGCAUCACUUCAUUACAAGUAAACGACCAAAUUUGUGGUAACGCAACACAUCUGAAUGAUGAUUAUGAAUGCUGUCUAGGAGAUUUUUGUAACGACGCCCACUUUGCUAAUCAAAAUGAGCCUGCUGGAGUGAAUUAUUUCGGUUUGCUGUAUAUACUAACUUAUUUCGUGUUAAUAUCAGCCGUAGUAGCUUUUGCAGUAGUUAUCUCAACUCUUAUUAAAGUUUAUCAAUUUGAGAAAUUGCUGACUACACCAAAGGAGCAUAUUGAAAUACAAGAGAUCGAUUCAGACAACCGUGCAGCCGGCAGAAGCAGCGAAUAAUUACAUUAACCUUUCCGAAAUCACUCCAGUCAUCAACAGCAUAUCAUUCAGCAACUCAAUUUCACAAGAAAUGCCACAACAAUCAAAAUUUAGCUAGCGGUUCGGGAUCAGGUAAUCCCGUACUGAAAAAAGCUUUGACGAUAAUACAUGGUAGUACACACUUAUUGACAAGCUGAAAUAUACAGCUUGAACAUCAUAUUCUGGAAAAUAUGUCACAUGUGCUUUGAAGACGUCGAUUCCAAAUAUAACUCCAUAUUUUAAGUGGUUUGCUAUUGACGAACGAGGGCCGACAACCGAGGAGACAGCUAAUUGAUUGCUUAUAAUCGUGGAACUGGAAUUCCCGAUUAUUGGCACACGAAUCCGAUAUGUUAGAAAAGACAAUCUUAUUGAAGCAUUCCAAUUUUUAACUCGGAUGACGUUUGACUUUUCAGAUAACAAAUUCAUUGGAAUUUCUAAUUCCAACUCCUUGGCAAGCGAACGCAUUAAUGCGACGCUCGAUUCGACAAGUUACUAAGACGUUUUGAUACCUUCAAAGAAUUAUUUCUUUACUUUAACUUAAUGAUGAUUUCGUUCGAAAAACUUUCUUACAAAAAUUAUUUUGGCUUUUUAAAAGACGCAUUUCUUUUACUAUUAAUAUAUUUUCGAUUAACUGGUAUGUUACAUAUACCUACAAUUUGAAUAGUAAAGCUAAAAUGCACAUUAUAACUUAUUAUUUAAACUAUCAUUGUCGUCUGAAUGAUAUGCUGUAGAAAUCUGGAAACAAUAAAGUUUUUAUUGUUAAAUGUGAGAAUCUAA